AAACCAACAGGGGAUUGCCUCAGUAACGGCGAGGUGAAGCGGCAAAAGCUCAAAUUUGAAAUCUGGCACNUUUCGGUGUCCGAGUUGUAAUUUGAAGAAGGUAACUUUGGAGUUGGCUCUUGUCUAUGUUCCUUGGAACAGGACGUCACAGAGGGUGAGAAUCCCGUGCGAUGAGAUGUCCAACUCUAUGUAAAGUGCUUUCGAAGAGUCGAGUUGUUUGGGAAUGCAGCUCUAAGUGGGUGGUAAAUUCCAUCUAAAGCUAAAUAUUGGCGAGAGACCGAUAGCGAACAAGUACAGUGAUGGAAAGAUGAAAAGAACUUUGAAAAGAGAGUGAAAAAGUACGUGAAAUUGUUGAAAGGGAAGGGCUUGAGAUCAGACUUGGUAUUUUGCAAGCCUUACCUUCGUGGUGGGGUCCCCUGCAGUUUACUGGGCCAGCAUCGGUUUGGAUGGUAGGAUAAUGACUUGGGAAUGUGGCUUUGCUUCGGUAAAGUGUUAUAGCCCUUGUUGAUACUACCUGUCUAGACCGAGGACUGCGUCUUUGACUAGGAUGCUGGCAUAAUGAUCUUAAGUCGCCCGUCUUGAAAC
rnacentral:rRNA from 1 species